UCAUGUCAUAUCCACACUAGUCAAUGAUUUCAAGUGGAUUUCUUCAUGUAACAAACAAUUUGAUAUAGAUUUUUUUUUUCUUGGUGAUUUUUGGGUAUGGAGUGUUGCUGCAAUUUGAGCUUUCUUCUCAAGUUUAAAUUUGUGUAUUACUUAAAAUGGAAGACCAGUUUGAUCAGAACAUCAAGCAAGGCUCCUUGUAUACUGUAAAACAUACUAAGAGGCCCACUCCUAUUGCGUGGUAUGAAUUUGAUACUUUGCCUACUAGUGAUGAUGGGAAAAAAACGGCCAAGUGUAAAAAGUGUGGGCGAAAGUAUGUUGUUAGUGGAGCAGGCACAUCAAAUUUGUUACGGUAUAUGAUUAAUUUGAAUGAUUCUAGAACUCUCUUACGAAAAGAAACAUAUUUUGCAUCAACUAAAUAUUACAAAAGUUCUAAUAUUUGAGGCUCUUGUGAUUCUACUCACUGGAUGUCGAUGGCUCCAUUAGUCCAUUAUAACAUGUUUACUUCGUUAAAUUAGGUGGCAACUUUCAAGAAUAGAAGAGUGCUAUUCGAUGCUCGGGCUGCGUUGAAAGGGCUCAACGCCUUGUGAAUUGGAUUAUGAUAUUCCAGAAUAUUGCGACGAAGAACCUUUUUAUGUUCAUUAUUACUGUCGUCAGCAUUUUUGUGGUGGAUCAACGACAACCACCCCAAAAAUGCCAACGACGGUUAUUAUGAACGUAAAAAUGUUCAUUGUCGCAGUAUUCUGGAAUAUCAGCAUCCAGUUCACCAGAAUUAUGAGGCAAAACAUGAAACCAAUUCUUCGGCUGAGCACUUUCAACGCAGCCCGAGCAUCCGAGAGCGUUGAGUCUAGCGCUCUUCUGUUCUUGAAAGUUGCCACCUGAUUUAAUGAAAUAAACAUGUUAUAAAGGAAGUAUGGAACCAUCGACAUCCAGUUGGUAGAAUCACAAGAGCCUUAAAUAUUAGAACUUUUGCAAUAUUUAGUUGAUGUAAAAUACGUUCCUUUUGCAAUAUCCAUCGUCAUCGACACGGGCGGCAAGUGGAGGUCAUGAAGAUGUUAUACUAGACGAAAUGGAUGUAAGUAUGUCUAAUUGUCUAUCAUUAAAUUCCUUCCUCUUAUUCAUAUUUUGAUACACAUAUGUUGUCCUUUUGGAUGCGAAGAGUACAAUUAAACAAGUGUUCCAGUUAACAGUAAGCUAUAUUUCUGUUUUGCCUUAUGUCCGAGAUAUCAUUGUGCAUUUUGUUCCCAGUAGUAAUUAUACGAACGGCGUUGAUGCAAGCAUUAAAGGCCCAAAGCCAUUACCUUCGGACAUUGAAGCUUACAUCAUGUGGAAAUGGAAUAAAGUUGAUGCAGUUUCUUACACAUGCAUUGCUCUCUGUUCAGGAUGCCUCAUGGAAGUGGCCUCCAUUACGGCCACUGUGUUUGAGCUUGAAAGUUUUUCUGUAGCAAAGAGAGUUAAAUGUCUUUUUCCUCCCAGUCUUCUUGGUUUAAGAAGCCAGUCUGUUCCUUUCACAUCAGGAUUUUUAGUCCCGUUUCUUGGUUCAAACAAUGUUUUGGUAUGCUUCGAUUUUAGGUGACUCAUUCCUGUGAAACAUGUUUUCAUCUGGAUUUCAUACAACGGAUGAUUGUCUCCAACGAUAUAAAUGAGCCAUUGAUAACCGGCUAUGAGGUCUGCCCUUGAUUCUCGAUGUUUUCUGGAGGGAGUCGUGCGAACUGAUUAAAACAUUUCUACUUGUAUUUGCAAACUUCAUACGGAAGAAACAUUUUCUUAUUUGUUGAUCAUUUCGCUAAUCCAGUUUCAGAAUCAUCUGAUCUUAGCGAUAGAUUUCACGUAUAUGGUGUUCUCUAGCUGCUUCGAUGGAAGAAACAUUGCUACUCUCUCUCUCACUCUGCCCUUUGUUUCCAUCUUUCUGUAAACCAAUUUGAAUCUCUAUAAUACCCACAAACACACGUACAUAUGGAUCUAUAAGUACAUUCAUACGAUCCGCAUAUUGGGGUUUUGAUGUAAUCCGCUUCGAAUCUUAUUUGUUGAUUAUUAAAUAAAACGCAGCUUGUUGUUGAGUUGAAUUGUAUAUGCCCAAUUUACUAAAGAUUUUAACACCUUUCUACGUAUGCCCAAUCUGGGACGUUUCUGUACGGAUUAGUGUGACUUUGGUUAAGUUUUGCUACAUCAGUUCUGGAUCAAAUUGGUAUUUUAAGUGCUGAGGCAUGCGAAUGUUUCCCCUUGUAUGAUUCGCCCGGUUGCUGAAGAACGCUCGCUGGGAAAUGAAAUAACUAGGCUUGCACUUUCUUGUACUGCUUCAAAAUUUCUCUUUGAACUCAAAGAACGUAUAUUGUUUGAAGAAUCCUGACCAAUUAGUGGAGCCUUGGCACCAGCGGUGGAUGUCGUGGAAUCAAUAGGCCUAUUUCAUGGAAGGUCCUCAAAAUUGUCCAUCCGCAAGAAUCACAGCAUUAAUCAGCGGCCGACCGUGGUUUUUUUACUGCUUUUAAUUCGAUAAUGGAGAAUUUUCCAUUGUUUUCUCAGUUUUUUUAUUGGUUCACUCCUAUUUUUGUUAGGGUUUCUAUGAGAUGACUUUACAAAGAGAGAGGUACUCCUGCCAUGAGUUCAAAUGCAGUGGGUUUCUGUCCAUGGUUUACGAUCACAUCAUAAUCCUUAGAUACCUGGAACUGAAUCUAUAGGCGGUGCAUGGCAGGAUGGAACAGAAAAGCAGCAUGGCAUUGGACUGAGGUAAUGAGAGAUGAGGCGCUUGAGCCGGCUGAUUGAGGUGAUCGGAAUCUGUAGAGGUUGAUAUAUGUUGGCAGAGGAGCCAUUGAAGGAGUGCAAAAUUAUUGAGGGUGAUGCGAAGAUCUCCCGUUCCCUACUGAUUAUGCUGAUGGAUAUGUAUCUGCUGGGAGUGCAUAGAACGAAAUGGAGUAACGAAAAAGGAAGCGUUGGGGAUUUUCAUCAACACCGUCGACAUGGGAUGUUUCAAAUGUCAGUUUCCUGAAGCAAAUUUUGCAUCUUUGGAAAGCGAGGUAUGCCUACUAGUUACUAGGAAAUUAUUGAUUCCUUGUACACGAGCUAUGCCUUCUGUGUUUUCGUAAACAUUGCUAGUGGAUUGGCCUCAGUUUUGAUUUUGUUCUAUUGAUUUAUCUUCAUGUACCAGUAGAAGUGCAAGUUAAAAUGCCCAAGUCUUGAGUUGGUUUAGGAACAUAAAUGAAAGUCCAAUUAGGAAGUUUGUUUUGGGUUUUGAAGGAGGUUUGAGUGGAGAGAGAUAGAUAGAGAAAAUGUAUUAGAGACCGUGUGCAGGGGCUUUAAAGCCCGCAAACAAACAUGAUUCGGAAACAAAGCCUUGGUUCUUCAUGCUUUCA